GCUCGCGUGAUGCAACUCGGCAGACAUACGAAGCUCAAACCUUCGUUCAUGCAGGUUCGAAUCCUGCCGCGAGUACCA
rnacentral:tRNA from 1 species